rnacentral:rRNA from 1 species
UACGUAGGGGGCAAGCGUUGUCCGGAUUUAUUGGGCGUAAAGAGCGUGUAGGCGGCCAGAUAGGUCAGCUGUGAAAACUCGAGGCUCAACCUCGAGAUGUCGGCUGAAACCAUCUGGCUAGAGUCCGGAAGAGGAGAAUGGAAUUCCCGGUGUAGCGGUGAAAUGCGCAGAUAUCGGGAAGAACACCCGUGGCGAAGGCGGCAUCCUGGACCAAUACUGACGCUGAGGAGCGAAAGCCAGGGGAGCAAACGGG